UGGGGAAUCUUGGGCAAUGGGGGAAACCCUGACCCAGCGACGCCGCGUGGAGGAUGACGGCCCUCGGGUUGUAAACUCCUGUCAGGUGGGAAGAAGAGCUUGUCGGUUAAUACCCGGCAGGAAUUGACGGUACCACCAAAGGAAGCCCCGGCUAACUCCGUGCCAGCAGCCGCGGUAAUACGGAGGGGGCAAGCGUUAUACGGAUUUACUGGGCGUAAAGCGCACGUAGGUGGCAUGGUAAGUCAAAGGUGAAAGCCCUCGGCUCAACCGAGGAAUUGCCUUUGAAACUGCUUUGCUUGAGUCCGGUAGGGGGGAGCGGAAUUCCCAGUGUAGCGGUGAAAUGCGUAGAUACUGGGAGGAACACCGGUGGCGAAGGCGGCUCCCUGGACCGGUACUGACACUGAGGUGCGAAAGCGUGGGUAGCAAACAGGAUUAGAUACCCUGGUAGUCCACGCCGUAAACGAUGGGCACUGGGUGCAGCGGGUAUUGACCCCUGCUGUGCCGUAGCUAACGCAUUAAGUGCUCCGCCUGGGGACUACGGUCGCAAGACUA
rnacentral:rRNA from 1 species